rnacentral:rRNA from 1 species
GGGCCACCACCCGCGGUAAUACGUAGGGUGCAAGCGUUGUCCGGAAUUAUUGGGCGUAAAGAGCUCGUAGGCGGUUUGUCGCGUCUGCUGUGAAAACCCGAGGCUCAACCUCGGGCCUGCAGUGGGUACGGGCAGACUAGAGUGCGGUAGGGGAGAAUGGAAUUCCUGGUGUAGCGGUGGAAUGCGCAGAUAUCAGGAGGAACACCGAUGGCGAAGGCAGUUCUCUGGGCCGUAACUGACGCUGAGGAGCGAAAGCGUGGGGAGCGAACAGGAUUAGAUACCCUGGUAGUCCACGCCGUAAACGUUGGGCGCUAGAUGUGGGGACCAUUCCACGGUUUCCGUGUCGCAGCUAACGCAUUAAGCGCCCCGCCUGGGGAGUACGGCCGCAAGGCUAAAACUCAAAGGAAUUGACGGGGGCCCGCACAAGCGGCGGAGCAUGCGGAUUAAUUCGAUGCAACGCGAAGAACCUUACCAAGGCUUGACAUAUACGAGAACGGGCCAGAAAUGGUCAACUCUUUGGACACUCGUAAACAGGUGGUGCAUGGUUGUCGUCAGCUCGUGUCGUGAGAUGUUGGGUUAAGUCCCGCAACGAGCGCAACCCUCGUUCUAUGUUGCCAGCACGUAAUGGUGGGAACUCAUAGGAGACUGCCGGGGUCAACUCGGAGGAAGGUGGGGAUGACGUCAAAUCAUCAUGCCCCUUAUGUCUUGGGCUUCACGCAUGCUACAAUGGCCGGUACAAAGGGCUGCAAUACCGUAAGGUGGAGCGAAUCCCAAAAAGCCGGUCUCAGUUCGGAUUGAGGUCUGCAACUCGACCUCAUGAAGUCGGAGUCGCUAGUAAUCGCAGAUCAGCAACGCUGCGGUGAAUACGUUCCCGGGCCUUGUACACACCGCCCGUCAAGUCAUGAAAGUCGGUAACACCCGAAGCCGGUGGCCUAACCCUUGUGGAAGGAGCCGUCGAAGGUGCAUUCCG